rnacentral:rRNA from 1 species
CCUACGGGAGGCAGCAGUGAGGAAUAUUGGUCAAUGGACGAGAGUCUGAACCAGCCAAGUAGCGUGAAGGAUGACUGUCCUAUGGGUUGUAAACUUCUUUUAUAAAGGAAUAAAACGAGGCACGUGUGCCUUUUUGCAUGUACUUUAUGAAUAAGGAUGGGCUAACUCCGUGCCAGCAGCCGCGGUAAUACGGAGGAUCCGAGCGUUAUCCGGAUUUAUUGGGUUUAAAGGGAGCGUAGAUGGGUUGUUAAGUCAGUUGUGAAAGUUUGCGGCUCAACCGUAAAAUUGCAAUUGAUACUGGCAGUCUUGAGUACAGUUGAGGUAGGCGGAAUUCGUGGUGUAGCGGUGGAAUGCUUAGAUAUCACGAAGAACCCCGAUUGCGAAGGCAGCUUACUAAACUGUGACUGACAUUGAUGCUCGAAAGUGUGGGUAUCAAACAGGAUUAGAUACCCGUGUAGUC